AUACGGCAAGUAUGAUGAGUUUAUUAGAUGUGCCAGGGGUGUAUUCCCAAUGAGCUUAAACUUCUGAGGCUUAUUGAUAUUCUGACUUGCCAACU
rnacentral:snoRNA from 1 species